UGUUUUGGACGCUGGAAGUCUGAAGUCAAGGCGUUGGCAGGCAAUGCUCCCUCUGAAGGCUCUAGGGGAAAAUCCUUUCUUGCCUCUUCGGCUUCCGAGGCUGCCGGCAUUCCUUUGCUUGUGGCUGCAGA